GUGAAAUAUGAUUAAAAGGGAAUCGGGUGCAAGUCCCGGACAGUCCCGCUGCUGUGAUCUCCUUAUAAAAGGUUGCGAUAAAUACUUGUGCCACUGUUUUUAUUUAAAAUGGGAAGGCUAUCGAAACCGGAGUCAGUCAGAAGACCUGCCAUACGUUUUU
rnacentral:ncRNA from 1 species